AGCGAACGCUGGCGGCAGGCCUAACACAUGCAAGUCGAACGGCAGCACAGUAAGCUUUUGCCCUUACGGGUGGCGAGUGGCGGAUGGGUGAGGAAUACAUCGUCAUCCUCUUUUCCGUGGGGGAUAUUGUAGGGCAACUUAUGCUACUACCUCAAACCUUCUACCACUGAAAGCAAGUGUGAAUCAGACCAUGGCCGAAUGCAAGGGUCGACGCCCGAUUAACUAGUUGGCUGGGUAAAGGCCCACCAAGGCACGCAUCCGUAGCUGGCCUGAGAGGAUGAUCAGCCACACUGGAACGGGAACAGGGUCCAGACUCCUACGGGAGGCAGCAGUGGGGAAUAUUGGACAAUGGGGGAAAGCCUGAUCCAGCCAGACCGCGUGGGUGAAGAAGGCCUUCGGGUUGUAAAGCCCGUUUGUUGGGAAAAAAAAGCAGCAGGUUAAUACCCCGCUGUUCUGACGGUACCCAAAGAAUAAGCACCGGCUAACUUCGUG
rnacentral:rRNA from 1 species